rnacentral:rRNA from 1 species
UGGGGAAUAUUGGACAAUGGGGGCAACCCUGAUCCAGCAAUUCUGUGUGCACGAUGAAGGUUUUCGGAUUGUAAAGUGCUUUCAGCAGGGAAGAAAAAAAUGACGGUACCUGCAGAAGAAGCGACGGCUAAAUACGUGCCAGCAGCCGCGGUAAUACGUAUGUCGCAAGCGUUAUCCGGAAUUAUUGGGCAUAAAGGGCAUCUAGGCGGCCAGAUAAGUCUGGGGUGAAAACUUGCGGCUCAACCGCAAGCCUGCCCUGGAAACUAUGUGGCUAGAGUACUGGAGAGGUGGACGGAACUGCACGAGUAGAGGUGAAAUUCGUAGAUAUGUGCAGGAAUGCCGAUGAUGAAGAUAGUUCACUGGACGGUAACUGACGCUGAAGUGCGAAAGCUAGGGGAGCAAACAGGAUUAGAUACCCUGGUAGUCCUAGCUGUAAACGAUGAUUACUGGGUGUGGGCAUGAAGAGUGUCCGUGCCGAAGCUAAUGCGAUAAGUAAUCCGCCUGGGGAGUACGGCCGCAAGGCU